rnacentral:rRNA from 1 species
CAGGGUUUGAUCCUGGCUCAGAUUGAACGCUGGCGGCAGGCCUAACACAUGCAAGUCGAGCGGAUGAAAGGGAGCUUGCUCCUGGAUUCAGCGGCGGACGGGUGAGUAAUGCCUAGGAAUCUGCCUGGUAGUGGGGGAUAACGUCCGGAAACGGGCGCUAAUACCGCAUACGUCCUGAGGGAGAAAGUGGGGGAUCUUCGGACCUCACGCUAUCAGAUGAGCCUAGGUCGGAUUAGCUAGUUGGUGGGGUAAAGGCCUACCAAGGCGACGAUCCGUAACUGGUCUGAGAGGAUGAUCAGUCACACUGGAACUGAGACACGGUCCAGACUCCUACGGGAGGCAGCAGUGGGGAAUAUUGGACAAUGGGCGAAAGCCUGAUCCAGCCACGCCGCGUGUGUGAAGAAGGUCUUCGGAUUGUAAAGCACUUUAAGUUGGGAGGAAGGGCAGUAAGUUAAUACCUUGCUGUUUUGACGUUACCAACAGAAUAAGCACCGGCUAACUUCGUGCCAGCAGCCGCGGUAAUACGAAGGGUGCAAGCGUUAAUCGGAAUUACUGGGCGUAAAGCGCGCGUAGGUGGUUCAGCAAGUUGGAUGUGAAAUCCCCGGGCUCAACCUGGGAACUGCAUCCAAAACUACUGAGCUAGAGUACGGUAGAGGGUGGUGGAAUUUCCUGUGUAGCGGUGAAAUGCGUAGAUAUAGGAAGGAACACCAGUGGCGAAGGCGACCACCUGGACUGAUACUGACACUGAGGUGCGAAAGCGUGGGGAGCAAACAGGAUUAGAUACCCUGGUAGUCCACGCCGUAAACGAUGUCGACUAGCCGUUGGGAUCCUUGAGAUCUUAGUGGCGCAGCUAACGCGAUAAGUCGACCGCCUGGGGAGUACGGCCGCAAGGUAAAACUCAAAGGAAUUGACGGU